CUUAUCUUGAGGCUCUACCACCAGUCCUCGACCCUCUGUGUGCACAGCCUGGCCACCUUUGAAGCACCUUUAUCUCUUGCUCUUUUAGGCUCUGGCUCUUAGGUUCCCUGGACUUCUCCACACAUCUCCUUCAUCCAGUGUGAUCCUCUCUACGGGUCUCUUCACUGCUGCUCAGCAGCUGCAGAGGUCAAAAGCCUUGCAAAUGGAAGUCACAGAGGGGACGUGAAGGAAGAAAUGAAUACUGCAGACCAGGGGGUGUGUCCUGGGAGGAUGAGGAGGAAGAAAGAUAGGCUAAGAGACCUGCCUGGGAUGGGAUCUAAGGGGACAUUACUACAUCUGCUGAGGGGGUCAUACCUUUGCCGACUGAAAAGUCACUGGUCAGUUCCUACACCCCAGGACUUCUGUGGCCCAGCUCUGCAUAUUAUCAGCGAAGGAUACUAACUAGCAGUGGCACCUAGGUGCUUGGUGGAUGAGCUUCAGAGUUCAGGUGAGUUCAGAGGCUUCUCUAAAUCCUGUUUCAACCUGACAGGCACUGGGCCUGGGGAAGUCACAAAGGAGGUAUCACUUCUUGCUAUGUUUGGCUG
rnacentral:lncRNA from 1 species